rnacentral:rRNA from 1 species
GACGAACGCUGGCGGCGUGCCUAAUACAUGCAAGUCGAGCGAAUCGAUGGGAGCUUGCUCCCUGAGGUUAGCGGCGGACGGGUGAGUAACACGUGGGUAACCUGCCUGUAAGACUGGGAUAACUUCGGGAAACCGGAGCUAAUACCGGAUACUUUCUUUUCUCGCAUGAGAAGAGAUGGAAAGAUGGUUCUGCUAUCACUUACAGAUGGACCCGCGGCGCAUUAGCUAGUUGGUGAGGUAACGGCUCACCAAGGCGACGAUGCGUAGCCGACCUGAGAGGGUGAUCGGCCACACUGGGACUGAGACACGGCCCAGACUCCUACGGGAGGCAGCAGUAGGGAAUCUUCCGCAAUGGACGAAAGUCUGACGGAGCAACGCCGCGUGAGCGAAGAAGGCCUUCGGGUCGUAAAGCUCUGUUGUUAGGGAAGAACAAGUAUGAGAGUAACUGCUCGUACCUUGACGGUACCUAACCAGAAAGCCACGGCUAACUACGUGCCAGCAGCCGCCGUAAAAC